rnacentral:rRNA from 1 species
UACGAAGGGGGCUAGCGUUGUUCGGAAUUACUGGGCGUAAAGCGCACGUAGGCGGAAUGGUAAGUCAGGGGUGAAAUCCCGGGGCUCAACCCCGGAACUGCCUUUGAUACUGGCAUUCUCGAGUCCGGAAGAGGUGAGUGGAAUUCCGAGUGUAGAGGUGAAAUUCGUAGAUAUUCGGAGGAACACCAGUGGCGAAGGCGGCUCACUGGUCCGGUACUGACGCUGAGGUGCGAAAGCGUGGGGAGCAAACAGG